rnacentral:rRNA from 1 species
UGAGGAAUAUUGGGCAAUGCCCGAAAGGGUGACCCAGCAACGCCGCGUGGAGGAUGAAGGUCGUAAGAUUGUAAACUCCUGUUAGAGGGGAAGAAUAACUAAGUUUGGAGCUUAGUAUGACUGUACCCUCAGAGAAAGCCCCGGCUAACUACGUGCCAGCAGCCGCGGUAAUACGUAGGGGGCAAGCGUUGUCCGGAUUUACUGGGUGUAAAGGGCGCGCAGGCGGAAUGGAAAGUCAGUGGUGAAAUCCUACAGCUUAACUGUAGAACUGCCUUUGAUACUUUUAUUCUUGAGUUCGGGAGANAGAGACGGAAUUCCAGGUGUAGUGGUGAAAUACGUAGAUAUCUGGAAGAACACCAGUUGCGAAGGCGGUCUCUUGGUCCGACACUGACGCUGAGGCGCGAAAGCGUGGGGAGCAAAC